rnacentral:rRNA from 1 species
UGGAUUAGUGGCGAACGGGUGAGUAACACGUGAGUAACCUGCCCUCCACUUUGGGAUAACUCCCAGAAAUCGGGGCUAAUACUGGAUAUGACCUUGGCCCGCAUGGGUUGUGGUGGAAAGUUUUUCGGUGGGGGUGGGCUCGCGGCCUAUCAGUUUGUUGGUGGGGUAAUGGCCUACCAAGGCGUCGACGGGUAGCCGGCCUGAGAGGGUGGACGGCCACAUUGGGACUGAGAUAUGGCCCAG